UAGAUUUUAUUGCUCCUGAUAGGCAAUGGAAUUUACAAGCUUUUAACUCAUGUUUUAAUGCUGAUCUAACUCUUGUUAUUACAAAUUGUCAUCUCAAACUCAAAACCCAACAUCUCCUCAGCCUUUCUUUUUUUUUUUUCAGGUGCUCAAAGAGAGAGUCAAAGUUGUUAGGAAACAUUAGAUUUCAGUAGUUUAAGAAGUGAAUGCUUUAAUUAGGAGCACUAGUGCAAAAUAAACUGUAAGUGCAUAUUAUAAUCAUCCAUUUUGCCUCAUAGAGUUGUACUCUAUAGCUGAGGAGAUUUUGACAAGGAAAAGGCUCUCCCAUCCUUCCAUCAAUAAGUUCUUUGAAUAUUUGCAAAUACUUGAACAAUCUAAGAGUAGAAUUAUUACAACACAGAGUUAUUAGUGGUGUUACAACGAAUAUUCGACCC
rnacentral:lncRNA from 1 species